CCUACGGGUGGCAGCAGUGGGGAAUAUUGGACAAUGGGCGAAAGCCUGAUCCAGCCAUGCCGCGUGUGUGAAGAAGGCCUUCGGGUUGUAAAGCACUUUCAGUGGGGAAGAAAGCCUUGGGGCUAAUACCCUCGAGGAAGGACAUCACCCACAGAAGAAGCACCGGCUAACUCCGUGCCAGCAGCCGCGGUAAUACGGAGGGUGCGAGCGUUAAUCGGAAUUACUGGGCGUAAAGCGCGCGUAGGCGGUCUGAUAAGCCGGUUGUGAAAGCCCCGGGCUCAACCUGGGAACGGCAUCCGGAACUGUCAGGCUAGAGUGCAGGAGAGGAAGGUAGAAUUCCCGGUGUAGCGGUGAAAUGCGUAGAGAUCGGGAGGAAUACCAGUGGCGAAGGCGGCCUUCUGGACUGACACUGACGCUGAGGUGCGAAAGCGUGGGUAGCAAACAGGAUUAGAUACCCGAGUAGU
rnacentral:rRNA from 1 species